rnacentral:rRNA from 1 species
UACAGAGACUGCAAGCGUUAUUCGGAUUCACUGGGCGUAAAGGGUGCGCAGGCGGCCAUGUGUGUGAGGCGUGAAAGCUCGAUGCUCAACAUCGGAAUUGCAUCUCAAACUACAUGGCUAGAGCAUUGGAGAGGGUAGCGGAAUUCACGGUGUAGCAGUGAAAUGCGUAGAUAUCGUGAGGAACAUCAGAGGCGAAGGCGGCUAUCUGGACAAUUGCUGACGCUUAGGCACGAAAGCGUGGGGAGCAAAAGGG